rnacentral:sRNA from 1 species
UGAUAUUUUGGAUUCACAAAUGCUAAAUUAUAAAAGUAAAUGAAUAUAUUACAUUAGCAAAGUCAACUAUCAAUGUGUUACAACAAGCCCGAUAGGGAAAGAAUCUGGAAUCUGGUUAUACGGAAAAAAGAAGGGCUGUUAUGUAAAGAUGGAAGAGUGGCGUCUCGAAUCAGUCAAGCUUUCUCCCAAUUUCUUCUAUAUUUUCAUUUGUUUCUCUAUUUAGCACAGAAAACUCAUCUCGGUCUUAUCAGAUGGUAUCAGAGCCUUCGAUCUUGGUUAAAAACGUACCGUCAAGCAAGAAACGGAACCGUAAACUAGCCCAACAUUCUCGGAAAACUAAAGAAUCGAGGGUCCCCCAACGAGUAAGGGAGUGAGUCUGUCCAAAGAAGCCCUUAAGAAGCGGAGUUUCACUCGACAAAAAAAGUUUGGACUGAAACCAUUUUUAGACAUAAUCGACUGACUUCUAAUUGCAUCGGAUCUAAAGAUCUGGUGCCUGUUCCGAUAGAAGGAAGGGAGUAAGGUUUAGGCUUUACCCAAGAGUCGAUCAUUACAAAAAGUACUAGUUUGAAAGGCUAAGUUGCCAAGAAAUAGUUCCUUUGCACGAGUCAAAAAUGAAACUUCCAAGUUUGCAUAGUCAAUGGACAUGACAAGUAUAUUUCAAAUUAACAUAAUCAAAACAAAACAUGUGUUCGUUGGAAAUAAUGAAA